rnacentral:rRNA from 1 species
GGGUAGGGGAGCGUUCUGUAAGCCUGUGAAGGUGUGCUGUGAGGCAUGCUGGAGGUAUCAGAAGUGCGAAUGCUGACAUAAGUAACGAUAAAGCGGGUGAAAAGCCCGCUCGCCGGAAGACCAAGGGUUCCUGUCCAACGUUAAUCGGGGCAGGGUGAGUCGACCCCUAAGGCGAGGCCGAAAGGCGUAGUCGAUGGGAAACAGGUUAAUAUUCCUGUACUUGGUGUUACUGCGAAGGGGGGACGGAGAAGGCUAUGUUGGCCGGGCGACGGUUGUCCCGGUUUAAGCGUGUAGGCUGGUUUUCCAGGCAAAUCCGGAAAAUCAAGGCUGAGGCGUGAUGACGAGGCACUACGGUGCUGAAGCAACAAAUGCCCUGCUUCCAGGAAAAGCCUCUAAGCAUCAGGUAACAUCAAAUCGUACCCCAAACCGACACAGGUGGUCAGGUAGAGAAUACCAAGGCGCUUGAGAGAACUCGGGUGAAGGAACUAGGCAAAAUGGUGCCGUAACUUCGGGAGAA